GAUGAACGCUGGCGGCGUGCUUAACACAUGCAAGUCGAACGAUAAAGCCCAGCUUGCUGGGUGGAUUAGUGGCGAACGGGUGAGUAACACGUGAGUAACCUGCCCUUGACUCUGGGAUAAGCCCGGGAAACUGGGUCUAAUACCGGAUAGGAGCGCCUGUCGCAUGACGGGUGUUGGAAAGAUUUUUCGGUCAUGGAUGGACUCGCGGCCUAUCAGCUUGUUGGUGAGGUAAUGGCUCACCAAGGCGACGACGGGUAGCCGGCCUGAGAGGGUGACCGGCCACACUGGGACUGAGACACGGCCCAGACUCCUACGGGAGGCAGCAGUGGGGAAUAUUGCACAAUGGGCGGAAGCCUGAUGCAGCGACGCCGCGUGAGGGAUGACGGCCUUCGGGUUGUAAACCUCUUUCAGUAGGGAAGAAGCGAAAGUGACGUACCUGCAGAGA
rnacentral:rRNA from 1 species